UGGGGAAUUUUGCACAAUGGGGGAAACCCUGAUGCAGCCACGCCGCGUGAGCGAAGAAGGCCUUCGGGUCGUAAAGCUCUUUUAUGAGGGAAGAUAAUGACGGUACCUCAAGAAAAAGCCCCGGCUAACUACGUGCCAGCAGCCGCGGUAAUACGUAGGGGGCUAGCGUUGUCCGGAAUCACUGGGCGUAAAGGGUUCGCAGGCGGAAUAACAAGUCAGAUGUGAAAGGCAUGGGCUCAACCCAUGUAAGCAUUUGAAACUGUAAUUCUUGAGAAGUGGAGAGGUAAGUGGAAUUCCUAGUGUAGCGGUGAAAUGCGUAGAUAUUAGGAGGAAUACCUGUGGCGAAGGCGACUUACUGGACACGAAUCUGACGCUGAGGAACGAAAGCGUGGGUAGCAAACGGG
rnacentral:rRNA from 1 species